rnacentral:miRNA from 1 species
AAAGUGUUUGAAUCUCAAUUAGAU